rnacentral:rRNA from 1 species
GAUGAACGCUGGCUACAGGCUUAACACAUGCAAGUCGAGGGGAAACGACGGGGAAGCUUGCUUCCCCGGGCGUCGACCGGCGCACGGGUGAGUAACGCGUAUCCAACCUGCCUCUGACUGAGGGAUAACCCGUCGAAAGUCGGCCUAAUACCUCAUGGUAUCGUCUGCGGGCAUCCAACGACGAUUAAAGAUUUCAUCGGUCAGGGAUGGGGAUGCGUCUGAUUAGCUUGUUGGCGGGGUAACGGCCCACCAAGGCUACGAUCAGUAGGGGUUCUGAGAGGAAGGGCCCCCACAUUGGAACUGGGAAACGGCCAAACUCCUACGGGAGGCAGCAGUGAGGAAUAUUGGUCAAUGGGCGAGAGCCUGAACCAGCCAAGUAGCGUGCAGGAAGACGGCCCUAUGGGUUGUAAACUGCUUUUAUGCGGGGAUAAAGUGAGGGACGUGUCCCUCAUUGCAGGUACCGCAUGAAUAAGGACCGGCUAAGUCCGUG